AACGAACGCUGGCGGCAGGCUUAACACAUGCAAGUCGAGCGCCCCGCAAGGGGAGCGGCAGACGGGUGAGUAACGCGUGGGAACGUACCUUUUGGUUCGGAACAACCCGGGAAACUGGAGCUAAAUACGGGAAAGGCCCUACCGGGAAAGAUUUAUCCCCGAAAGAUCGGCCCGCCUCUGAUUAGCUAGUUGGUGAGGUAACGGCUCACCAAGGGGACGGUCAGUAGCUGGUCUGAGAGGAUGAUCAGCCACACUGGGACUGAGACACGGGCCAGACUCCUACGGGAGGCAGGAGUGGGGAAUAUUGGACGAUGGGCGCAAGCCUGAUCCAGCCAUGCCGCGUGAGUGAUGAAGGCCUUAGGGUUGUAAAGCUCUUUUGUCCGGGAAGAUAAUGACUGUACCGGAAGAAUAAGCCCCGGCUAACUUCGUG
rnacentral:rRNA from 1 species